GAGUUUGAUCCUGGCUCAGGAUGAACGCUGGCGGCGUGCUUAACACAUGCAAGUCGAGCGAAGCAUUUAAGACGAUCUCUUCGGAUUGAGUCUUAUAUGACUGAGCGGCGGACGGGUGAGUAACGCGUGGGUAACCUGCCUCAUACAGGGGGAUAACAGUUAGAAAUGACUGCUAAUACCGCAUAAGCGCACAGGGCUGCAUGGCCUGGUGUGAAAAACUCCGGUGGUAUGAGAUGGACCCGCGUCUGAUUAGCUAGUUGGAGGGGUAACGGCCCACCAAGGCGACGAUCAGUAGCCGGCCUGAGAGGGUGAACGGCCACAUUGGGACUGAGACACGGCCCAGACUCCUACGGGAGGCAGCAGUGGGGAAUAUUGCACAAUGGGGGAAACCCUGAUGCAGCGACGCCGCGUGAAGGAAGAAGUAUCUCGGUAUGUAAACUUCUAUCAGCAGGGAAGAAAAUGACGGUACCUGACUAAGAAGCCCCGGCUAACUACGUGCCAGCAGCCGCGGUAAUAC
rnacentral:rRNA from 1 species